rnacentral:rRNA from 1 species
UACGUAGGGUGCGAGCGUUGUCCGGAAUUAUUGGGCGUAAAGGGCUCGUAGGCGGUCUGUCACGUCGGGAGUGAAAACUCAGGGCUUAACCCUGAGCCUGCUUCCGAUACGGGCAGACUAGAGGUAUGCAGGGGAGAACGGAAUUCCUGGUGUAGCGGUGAAAUGCGCAGAUAUCAGGAGGAACACCGGUGGCGAAGGCGACUUCCUGGACCUGUUCUGACGCUGAGGAGCGAAAGCGUGGGGAGCGAUCCGG